rnacentral:rRNA from 1 species
UACGUAGGGUGCGAGCGUUAAUCGGAAUUACUGGGCGUAAAGUGUGCGCAGGCGGCCGAGCAAGUCGAGUGUGAAAGCCCCGAGCUUAACUUGGGAAUUGCGCUCGAAACUACUUGGCUGGAGUGUGGCAGAGGAAGGUGGAAUUCCAGGUGUAGCGGUGAAAUGCGUAGAUAUCUGGAGGAAUACCGGUGGCGAAGGCGGCAUCCUGGACCGGCAUUGACGCUGAUGUGCGAAAGCCAGGGGAGCAAACGGG